GCUGGUGGCUAGGGUGCUCAUUUCUUUGAUUCUUCAGUUUUAAUGUAUAGUCACCCAGAAUUUUUGCAUAGGAACAUUCAUUCCUUGUUUUUUGUCCUCAAGACAAUCUACACUUAAUACAGGACCUGCAUUACACCUUUUGCUGAUGUACUAUGUAUAAAUGUUGUUAAUAUUGAAAAGGACAAACAACUGAUUCAUUGACAAUGAGGACAUCUAGGCUUAGAAAGAGCCACAUCUUUUUACACCAAUUAUUGCAAAAGCAGAAGGGUCCACCAUUUUGCAGAACUGCCAGCAAUACGUAGGAGUUCCAAGCUUUCCACAUCCUUAUCCACACUUGGUGUUGGCCAAGCACAUAGUAGGCAUUUCACAUCUAACAUCUACUCGGGGAAGGAAAAAUAAUCACUCAAGAAUUUCGAUGUUAACAGAUGGAUGCAGUACGAACUCCAAGGUCAAAGACAAAUUUUCCUUUUCUUGCAAGAAGAGAGCAACUUGAGAAUGUGUUCAGGGGAAGGGAUCAUGGA